AUUGAACGCUGGCGGCAGGCCUAACACAUGCAAGUCGAGCGAGCGGCGGACGGGUGAGUAAUGUCUGGGAAACUGCCUGAUGGAGGGGGAUAACUACUGGAAACGGUAGCUAAUACCGCAUACCAUCAGAUGUGCCCAGGUGGGAUUAGCUAGUAGGGGGGGUAACGGCUCAACUAGGCGACGAGCCCUAGCUGGUCUGAGAGGUGGACCAGUCACAUGGGAACUGAGACACGGUCCAGAUUCCUACGUGAGGCAGCAGUGGGGAAUAUUGCACAAUGGGCGCAAGCCUGAUGCAGCCAUGCCGCGUGUGUGAAGAAGGCCUUCGUGUUGUAAAGCACUUUCAGCGGGGAGGCGUUACCCGCAGAAGAAGCACCGGCUAACUCCGUGCCAGCAGCCGCGGUAAUAC
rnacentral:rRNA from 1 species